rnacentral:ncRNA from 1 species
UUAUAAAUAUAAUUUAUAUUUAUAAAGUAAGCGAGAUGAUAAUAGUUACUAGUCAUUUUGUAUGGAAAAACUGAGAACCCGAGAGAAUGAUCAGCCACAUUGGGACUGAGACACGGCCUAGACUCCUAUAGGAGGCAGUAGUGGGGAAUUUUUUGCAAUGGGCGAAAGCCUGAUAGAGCAAUGCCGCAUGGACGUAGAAGGUCCAUGGGUCAUGAACUUCUUUUCUUGGAGAAGAAACAAUGACGGGUAUCUGGAAAAUAAGCAUCGGUUUACUCUGUGCCUGCAGAAUUGAAUUGAAUUAUUAUGUAUGAUUCAAA